rnacentral:lncRNA from 1 species
ACAAUGGAGGAUCCGAGUCCGCCAUGGCUGCAACCAUCUUGGUUACCCAGCCAAGAUACGGGUCAGAUCUCCCAAGCUCCCACUGGGGUUCGCUCCAAUUAGAAUACAUAUCCAUCAUCAUCAUAGCCUCCCUGUUUAUUUAAUUUACUUGCUCUUAGACAGAAACUCUGAAAUAGAUAGAAACAUGCAUGCAUCCAAUGCCAUCCAUACAUAAUGGAGAGUGGAAUGGAAUUGGUGGUGAAGGAAGUGAAGAAGAAAUAAUUAUACAGUAAAUUCCCCAGAAAGCAAACAGACAAUGCCUUUGAAUCAUCUGUAUCUGCAGCAGCAGCAACAACAACAACAAUAAGAGUAGAUUGUGUGAAACUGCAAAGGUCGGUUGAUUGAGAAUGGUGUUAGAAAUCAUGGGCUAAGCAGAGAGGGGCAACCGGCCUUGGAAACCAUUAUUAUCCUCUCCACCGCCUCAUUCUUCUAAGAGCAAACCCCAGCUUUUUGCUGCUCUCUUUACCAAACGCACUCCCUUAUAUGUUGAUGUUUUUUAGUAUUAUUUUUGUUGAGUAAUUGUCUUGGUUUUGGUGUUUAAUUUUUAAUUUCACUUGGUGGUUGAAAUGCUUGAGGGGAGGUUCAUGGUACUAGUUUGUGUAGACCGUGGAGAGAGAAUUCAAUUCUGUCAAAGAUGUGCCUUUGAUUUAUUCAUUUAUUAAAAAAAUCAAAGUUAUAAAUAUUUGAGGAAAAAAUAUAAUUGAAAGUAUAAGCCAGCUAUUGUGAUUAUAAUUAAAAUCAAAACGCAUAUAUUUUCGAUACAUAUGAUAUUUCUUUAUAGGUUUCAAAAAAAUAUAUGAUAUUUCUUUAUAUAAAUCUGUAAGUAAUUUUAUAUAUUACUGUUAUACAAAAUAUUUUUAUACUACUGAAUUAGAAGUCGAGAAGUAUAUUUCAUACAAGUGUGUACUACGAGAUGGCAUGGACAACAGACUAGAUUUAAUUAUUUUUUGAAGAUAAACAUACCAUUUUUUUUUUGUCCUGAGGUAUUUCUAAUUUAGAUUAUCUUUUUCCUAAUUAAAAUAAACUCCUCCAGAUAGCAUAGAUCAAAUAACAAAAAAAAGAUAAUUAGCAAAAAAAAAAUAACUAAAAAGAUUGAUUAGAUUCUUUCCUAGAAAAGAAUAACAAACAAAAUAGAUCAAAUGUCUAAAAAGAUUGAUCAGACUCUUUCCUAGAUCAGACUCUUUCCUAGAAAUGAGGGGUCGUUUAGUUCGUAGGUUUCUGGAAUGAGGUAUGGGGUUUGUCCAUUCCAAACUCAUACCUGGUGUUUGGUUGACAAAAAUAAAAUCUGAAACUCAUACCUUAAACCCCAAAGUAUGGGUUUUUGAUACACAAGUGGGGAGGUGGGUAUGAGAUGGAGGUAUGAGCUAUAUUCAUUUUUUAUUUUUUUUCCCUCUCUUUAAGUAAUGAAAUAUAAAUGUUUGAUAAAAAAUUAAAUCAAUGAUGCAAAAAUAUAUGACAAUAACAAUUUUAUUAAUAUUUUUAAUUAAUAUAUAUUAAUAACUUAUUUUUUAUAAAAAUUGUAUAUAUUGAUUCCAACACUCAACCAAACACAUGAUAUCAGAUAUGAUACCUCAAACUCAUACCAGCUUAACCCGAUUUCUCAUUCCAACCCGAUACCACUCCUCAAACCAAACAACCCCUAAGGAGUAGCAAACAAAAAUCGUUUGGUCAAUUACGAUGCUCGAUUCCCCGAAUACCAAAAAAACAUAAAAAUGAACUGGAUCUUUUGGAAACACCCAUGUCCACUAGUUGUCUAGCAUGAUUGUAGCAUUUUAGGUUGAAAAAAUAACAAAAGUCAAAAAAAUGCAUUGAAAUUAAAAUUUUGUGGUAAAAUUAGAAGACAUUACUUUAAUAUAUUUUGAAUUGUACUGCUUUAAGAAAGUUCACGAAUUUACAAUAAAAAACAAGACAUUGUUUUAAAUCAUUGAAAAGGUGAUUAAUAAGUAAUAACCAUCCUUUUUGAGGAAAAAAUAAAGAGGAUUUUCUUCUAUUGCUAAACUGCCCUUAAAUAAUUUUUUAAUAUAAAAAUGUUAUACGAACAUCUUGUUAAAAAAUUUUAAAUUAGAUAUCAAAAAUAUAGGCUACAAUAGCAUAAUUAACCCUAAAAAAUUUCAUCCGUAAUAAAAAAUUAUAAAUAAGAUUAUUCCAACUCCUUUAACUUAUUUCUUAUUUUUAAUAAUUAAAUUAAUCAAAUAUUAAUCGAAUAUUAAACAUAAAAUAAAAAUGAAUGAUAGAAGAUUAACUUAAAAAGAAAAAGAUAACAAUGGAGUGAGGCUCAGAUCUGUAAAAAGCGGAGACACCGGAGGAUCUAAUUCCGCCAUGGCUGCAACCAUCCAGUUGCUUGCGAAUCGCAAGCCAUCCGGCGUUGCCCAGCCAAGAUACGGGUCAGAUUCCCCCGAGCCCCAACCGGGGUUCGCUACAAUUAGAUUAUAAAACAUUAUCAUCAUAGCCUCUUUGUUAAUAGCUGCGCCAUCGGAGACUCUGGAGAUGCUCUAGUACAUGAAUUCAUGCAGAUCACUUAAGUGAAGGGGAAUGGCGUUGAUAUGGUAGAAUGCUUUGUUAAUAUUAUUUUAAUAAUAAUAAUAAAUUAUUAUGGGCUACAUAUAUAAAUAUAUCAAUUAUAUUUAAUUAUUUAUUUUAUUGGGUUAAAUUACGUGAUCAAAUCAGUGUUCUAAAAGUCGGCGAUUAAUCGGGAUUAAUCGCCGAUUAAUCGCUGUUCGGUCGGCCACCGUCUCGAUUAAGCGUUAAUCGGCGAAAAAAUAGUUUUUUCUGAAAAUCGGGAUUAAUCGGUCAAAAGUCGGGAUUAAUCGGAAAAAGUCGGUCAAAAAUCGGUGAAUUUAAAAAAAUUAAAAAUAAAAAGUAAAAAAAUCUUAAAAUUCUAAAAUUUAAUUUUAAAUAAAACAAAAGGCACGGAAAUGACAAAACACAUAAAUUAAAGUUGUUUUAUUACCUUUCACUCUUUCAAUAUUAACUUUAAACUCUAAUUACAUAAAUUUGCAAUAUCUUCCUUCGCAGAUUCAAUCAAAUUCAAGUUUAUAUAUGAGAUGAAUGGAUUUGUAUAUGUAUAUAAAGGCAUGUUUUGUGUUAUAAAAAAUCAUUAAUCUUUUGAUUUUAUAUGACUAUAAAUUUAUACUAUAUAUAAUUAUAUUAAUAUAUACUAUUAUUUAAAAAAUAAUAUUAAAUUGAUUACGAUUAAUGAUCCGAUUAAUCACUCCGAUUAAUCUCCGAUUAUCCGAUUAAUCGCUAGACGGUGCCUUCACCGACUAAGUCCGAUUCCCGCUUUUUACAACACUGGAUCAAAUAAGAAACCCAAUUAGAUUUUAAUUAUUGUGUGGGUCAAAUGAGUGGAUACUCAAUACUAAGGCCUAAUCAAUAUAUAUAUAUAAAGGAGGAUGCGGGCGUCUCUACAAUUGCUCGAUUCAGUCCUCUGAAUUUUCUUGAUUUUCGGAGAGAAAAUAUAGUUAUAAUUCAAAAAAUCAGGUCCAAGAAUUCUGAAAGUAAUACAAUUCUUUUCUUAUUUAAUUCUAAAGAUGAUACAGUUCUUUUCUUAUUUGGUAUUUUUUAUUAAACUCUAAAGAUGAUACAAUAGUAUUUCUUAUUGAAUUCUAAAGAUGAUACAAUUCUUUUCUUAUUUAGGAAUCCAAAACAAAUAGGAUUAUAUUUAUUCAAACUAAUAAUAAUAGAUAAAAUACAAUUUAUAUUUAAGAUAUGUAAAGUAAUAUAUACAAUUCUUAUUUUCGAUAAGAUAUAUUGAAGAUAUGUUUAACGGGUACACGAUUGAAAAUAACUUUUAUGGAAUUAUAAUAGUAUUUCGUAUCAAACUUUAUAAAAAAAAUUAUUUAUUAGUAUUGUGUUUAAGGGGAGGGCGGCCCAAAUUAAUUUUUACCUAAAUAAUAAUAUUUUUUUAUUAGUAUUAUGUUUGAUGGGAAAGUAGCUAAAACAAUUUUUUGUCUAGAUUUAUAAAAAAUUCAUAACGCCGCCGCGAAGCGCGGCUUUUUUCACUAGUCAGUAUAUAUAUAUAAAGGAGGAUGCGGGCGUCUCUACGAUUGUUCGAUUCAGUCUUCUGAUUUUUCUUAAAUUUCGGAGAGAAAAUAUAGUUAUAAUUCAAAAAAUCUGGUUCAAGAAUUCUAGAGGUAAUACAAUUCUUUUCUCAUUGAAUUCUAAAUAUGAUACAAUUUUUUUCUUAUUUAGUAUUUCUUAUUGAAUUCUAAAGAUGAUACAAUAGUAUUUCUUAUUGAAUUCUAAAGAUUAUACAAUUCUUUUUAUAUUUACUAAUCCUAAAAGUAAUAGGACUAUAUUUAUUGAAACUAAUAAUAAUAGAUAAAAUAUAAUUUAUAUUUAAUAUUUGUUAAGUAAUAUAUACAAUUCUUAUUUUCGAUAAGAUAUAUUGAAGAUGUAGUUGAAUUUUAUAUUAUAAAAUUUUAUUUUAAAUAUGUUCGAAUUAUAAAGUUGGCAUCUCUAGAAUUGUUCGAUUCAGUUUAUAAUUUUCUUAAAUUUCGGAUAGAAAAUAAAAUUAUAAUAAAAACCAAAUUCAAAUAUUUUAUAGAUAAAACGAUUGCAAAGAUAGUACAAUUCUUUUACUUAUUUAGAAAUCAUAAAAGAUUAGGAUUCCAUUUAUUCAAAAUAACAAUUAUAGAACAAAUAUAAUUAAAAAAAAUACAAUUUUUAUUUUCAAAAGUUAUAAAAAUUUUCCUUCAAAAAAAAAGUUGUAAAAUUUAUAAUCUUAUUUUAUUAAUUUUUUUCAAAUUAUAUAUUAAAAAAAAAUAAAAACCAGCAUCUUCUAGAAUCUCACAUUGUCUAAACAGGUUCGUAGCGCUAGACUCGCGUCGUUCCAUAAUGAUCAACAAGAAAAUAACAUAAAACAUCUCUGACAUAUUUGCAGGCUCUCAAAUAGUAUGCAUGGACUUACGACCAAUCUCGACAAUAGUUCGAUUCAGUCAUAUAAUUUUCUUGAAUUUCGAAUAGAAAAUAAAAUUAUAAUUCCAAAAAUCAAAUUCAAGGAUCUUCUUAUUUAGGAAUCCUAAAAGAAAUAGGAUUUUAUUUAUUUAAACUAACAAUCAUUGAAAAAAUACAAUUUAUAGUUAAAAUUUGUAAGGUAAUAUGUACAAUUUUUAUUUUCGAUUUAGUUUUAUAAUUUUCUUAAAUUUCGAGUAGAAAAUCAAGGAUUAUAAAGAUAAUAAUCAUUAAAAAAGACUAAUAGCACAAAAAUAAGAAUAAUAGAAGAAUAAUAUUUUUUAACUAAUAAAUAGGAAUCAUUAAAUAAUAAUAAUAAUAAAUAAAUACGAUAUAUAAAAUAGGAAUUAUAUAUUGAUUUUAUGAUAAUCAAAAUGAUUCUUGAUUAGUAUUAUGUUUGACGGGCACGGGAGGCGGCCCAAACUAAUUUUUAUCUAAAUAAUAAUAAUAUUUUUAUUAGUUUUGUGUUUGACGGGCACGAGAGGGCCCAAACUAAUUUUUAUCUAAAUAAUAAUAAUUUUUCCAUUAGUAUUUUGUUUGACGGGAAAGUGGCUAAAAUAAUUUUUUUAUCUAUGUUAUAAUAUAUUUCUUUUCCUAAAACAGGACCACAGUUCAAAAUAAUUUUUAUCCAAUUAUAAGCUUUAAUAUUACAAGUUUCAUAUAUUAUUCUAUUUCAUCAUUUAUGAAUAGAUAUUACACGCCGUCACGAAGUAAUCACACCUUAUAUCAAACGGCUUUUAUGAAGCAAACAAAUUUUUACAAUAAUACACCCUAAUAUAGCAUACAUCCAAAAAUUCUUGAUAAUUUGAUAGAAUAUUAAAUGAGGACCACUUAAGCAAAUUUUUAUACUAAUUAUAAUAUUUUUUUUAUUAGUCAUAUGUUUAACGAUUAUUUAUUUUAUUGGGUUAAAUUACGUGAUCAAAUAAGAAAUCCAAUUAGAUUUUAAUUAUUGUGUGGGUCAAAUGAGUGGAUACCCAAUACUAAGGCCUAAUUUAAUUAUAAUGGGAGAUUAAAUUGAGCGUUAGAAUACAGAAGGUUAUAGUCCCCAAUAUAUCAAGCAACACAUACAGUCUUUCUUUACCCAUCAGAGAGGACUACUAGAGAAAACCUAAGGAGUGCUUGGUUGAGGAAGACAAUAACGCUGCUUCAAAAGCAAGAUUACUUAAGGUUAUACCACUAUCAUCACUAAUGGAUACAGGUAUGCUUCCGCUUACAGUUUAUAACUCGAUAGUUGAAUAUGAUGUUUACGAUCCUUGUCUCUAUUAUAGAGAAUUUGUGCUUAUAGAAUUAUAAGUUUCUUACCAUUGGCAUCAGAGCCACUUCAUAUUUGAUUAUUGAGUGUACAGUUUUUGCAUAUGUUUUGAAAUCGGUUAAUCUGAUUUGUUCGGUUAUUGUUUUCCGAGAGGAUUUGUGUGCACGCACAGUCUGGCUAAUUUUUUGACACUUGAAUUGCGUUUGCGUGAUUUCACUUCGGUCAAAUUUUCUUUUACACACGCGCAUGUCCAGUAAAAUUUUGAAUUGUUAAGGUUCAACCCCAUGGUUAUUUUAAUUAUGUAACUGUUGAUCAUGGAUGCAUGUUACUUUUGUAUGUCAUGCAUUAUAAUACCAUAUCAUACUUGGUACUUUUGUUUUUUUUUGUUUAGUAAGCUCCAUGUUAAUGGUUAAAGUGAUGCUCUGGAUUCAGUUUAUUAUUAUGCAGUAAUACAGUACCUAGCAUGUUGAGUCAUAUUUUUAUAUAAUUUGGUUAAUUUGCUGCAAAUAAAGAAAAUGUAUUAUGGUUAUGUGUUAAAUUUUAAUAUUGGCAAAAUAUUAUUAACCUAUUUAGUUAGGUGGUCAAAUAAUUUUAAGUUAAUUGAUUGAAGCAAUAUGUUGCCAAAGUAACCUCUUUUGUGUAGAUUAGUUAAUUUAAAAGUAUUAUUAUGACGAUUGAAUAUUUAAUUUAAUGCAAAUUUUAUCGGCCCAAAGGAAGAUAAAUAUUUGGCCAAAAUUAAAAUAUUCUUGUGAUAGUAAGUAUGUAGCAAUAUAAAGUUUUUUUUUCAUGUGAAUAAUAAGUCGGUCCAAAGAAAGGCAUAUUAUUUGACAGAAAUUAAUUGUUAAUACUUGAUUAGUGCGUGGAGAGUACCAAUUGCAAAUUAAAUUUUCUGUCCAAAGACUAAAAUUUAUUGUUGCGCUAGGUAUCUUGUGAUGGUGUUGCCAAUAAUAAAAUUUAUUAUAUUAUUAUAUAUGUUAGUGUUGAGCAUUUUCUGUAAAUUUGUUUUCUAUUGCAGUUAUGACUACAGUUAAUUCUGCUUCUGCUCAAUUGAGCAUGAUUCCAAUGUUGAAUGGGACAAACUAUGUCACAUGGAAAGAGACUGUUGAGAUUGUUCUUGGGUGCAUGGAUCUUGACCUUGCGCUAAGGAAAGAGCAACCAGUUCCCACUACGGAUGAUCCGAAAACGGAUCAAAUUGAUAAGUGGGAACGCUCUAAUCGCAUGUGUAUGGCGAUCAUGAAGCGAACGAUCCCAACUGGCUUUCGGGGCUCCAUUGCUGAGAGCACAAGUGCCAAGAAGUUCCUCUCUGAAAUUGAGCAAUAUUUUGCUAAGAAUGAGAAAGCGGAAACGAGUAAUCUUCUGUCAAAACUCGUGACCAUGAAGUAUAAAGGAAAGGGGAACAUAAGGGAGUACAUCAUUGGGAUGUCUAAUCUUGCAGGCAAACUUAAGGAACUCAAGUUAGAACUUUCAGAUGAGCUGCUUGUUCACUUGGUUCUGAUUUCUCUCCCUCCUCAGUUUGGACACUUUGUGGUGAGUUACAAUACUCAAAAGGAAAUUGGACUCUUAAUGAGCUCAUUUCACACUGUGUGCAAGAGGAGGAGAGGGUUUUGCGAGAGAAGACUGAAAGUGCUCACUUGGCAUCGAGCUCUCAUGAUAAGAAAAAAAAGAGAGGUAAGGAUUCUGCAAGUGGAAAACCCAAGCAACCUUCGCAAGAGAAGCAGGAUAAGGGACCAACCUGUUACUUUUGUAAGAAGGCUGGAUAUAUGAAGAAUGAGUGUUCCAAAUAUGCUGCUUGACGUGUGAAGAAGGGUAUGACUUUUGUCUUUGUUUGUUCUGAAGUUAAUUUAGCUUCUGUACCUAAAGAUACUUGGUGGGUAGAUUCUGGUGCUACUACUCAUAUAAGUGUAUCAAUGCAGGGUUGCCUGUGGAGCCGACCGCCAACUGAUGCUGAAAGAUACAUCUAUGUGGGUGACGGCAAUAAAGUUUCAGUUGAAGCAGUUGGAACAUUUAGAUUGUUAUUAAAAACUGGUGUUUAUUUGGAUUUAUUUGAGACUUUUGUUGCACCGUCUUUUAGACGGAAUCUUAUUUCUAUUUCCUGUUUGGACAAAUAUGGCUACACUUGUUCCUUUGGAAAUAAUAAAGUUUGUUUCUCAUUAAAUUCAAAUGUGGUUGCUACUGGUUCUUUAAUUGAUAAUCUUUAUAUGCUUGAGACUGUUACUUUUAAUAAUGAAAUUUUGCACUCAAGUGCAAGAGGUACAAAGCGUAAGAUAACUGAGAAUUCUGCCAUGUUGUGGCACAAGCGCUUAGGACACAUCUCUAAACAGAGAAUUCAGAGGCUUGUGAAUGAUAGAAUUCUUGAUCCCUUAGAUUUAAGUGAUUUUCAGGUUUGCAUAGAAUGCAUUAAGGAAAACAAACAAACUCAAGAAAGUUAGGUGCCAACAGAGCUACUAGUGUCUUAGAACUGAUUCAUACCGAUAUAUGUGGACCAUUCCCUACGGCCUCUUGGAACGGUCAAUGGUAUUUUAUCACGUUCAUAGACGAUUACUCAAGAUAUGGUUACCUAUACUUAAUACAUGAGAAGUCACAAGCUUUGGAUGUGUUUAAGGUCUUCAAAGCUGAAGUUGAGAAACAGCGUGGUAAGCCAAUUAAAGCUGUCAGGUCUGAUCGUGGUGGUGAGUACUACGGUAGAUAUGAUGGAUCAGGUGAACAACGUCCAUGGCCCUUUGCUAACUUCCUAAAGGAGUGUGGGAUUGUCCCUCAGUACACUAUGCCAGGCAAACCUAAUAUGAAUGGUGUUGCUGAGAGGCGAAACCGUACUCUUAAAGAUAUGGUGAGAAGUAUGAUAAGUCAUUCUUCUUUACCUGAAUCACUUUGGGGAGAUGCACUAAUGACUGCUAUUUAUAUCCUUAAUAGAGUUCCAACAAAGGCAGUGGCCGAAACCCCCUUACAAACUUUGGACUGAUAAAACUCCAAGUAUUAGGCAUUUACAUGUUCGGGGUUGUCCAGCUGAGGCAAGGCCAUAUAGACCAAAUGAAAAGAAACUGGACUCAAGGACGGUCAGUUGCUAUUUUGUUGGAUAUCCGGAGCGUACUCGCGGAUUUAAAUUUUAUGAUCCCGCUACUAGAUCCUUCUUCGAGACUGAUAAUGCAAGAUUUUUUGAGGAUGUUGAUUUUGGGAGGGAAGAUAUAGGUAGAAGUGUUGUCUUUGAAGAAGAUAGUCAUGAUCUUAUUCAUGACACGACCGAGAGCAAUGAUCAGAUUAUGGUACCUAUCAUUGUUCAAGGCCCUCCGGUUCAAGACAACACUGCAUUCCCCAUGAGGAACCAAUUGAUCAAACUCAACAACCUCAUGAAUCACAAGAAGUGCCACUAAGGAGAUCCACUAGAGAGCGAAAGAGCGCAAUUCCAGAUGAUUAUGUUGUUUUUCUACAAGAACAUGAAGAUGGAAUUGGCAUUGGAGAAGAUGAUCCUGUAAAUCUUCAACAGGCCAUGCAGAGUCCUCAUGCUCAAAAGUGGAUCGAUGCCAUGAAUGAAGAGAUGCAAUCUAUGAAAGACAAUGACGUUUGGGAUCUUGUCGAGUUGCCUAAAGGAUCAAAGCCUGUUGGUUGCAAAUGGGUUUUUAAAACCAAAAAGGAUUCAAAAGGUAACAUCGAAAGAUAUAAGGCUCGUCUAGUCGCAAAAGUAUUCACUCAAAAGAAAGCUAUCGACUAUAAUGAAACUUUCUCUCCAGUUUCCACGAAAGACUCAUUUAGAAUUUUUAUGGCGCUUGUGGCUCAUUAUGACCUAGAGCUACAUCAGAUGGACGUAAAGACAGCGUUUCUCAAUGGUAACAUUGGAGAGACAAUUUAUAUGGUGCAACCAGAAAAUUUUGUCAUUCGAGAUCCAAAGACAAUGGUUUGCAGAUUAAAGAAGUCCAUCUAUGGUCUCAGACAGGCCUCUCGUGAAUGGUAUCACAAAUUUCAUCAUGUUAUCACAUCAUAUGGUUUUGAAGUGAACUUGGUGGAACAUUGUGUAUAUCACAAGUUCAGUGGGAGCAAAUUUAUCUUUCUUCUCUUAUACGUUGAUGACAUCUUACUUGCCACUAAUGAUAUAGGCUUAUUGCACGAUACCAAGAAAUUUCUCACUAAUCAAUUUGAGAUGAAGGAUCUUGGUAACGCCUCUUUUGUAUUAGGAAUUCAGAUACAUCGAGAUCGCUCUCGAGGUAUUCUUGGAUUGUCGCAAAAGAGCUAUAUCGAAAAGAUCCUGGAAAGGUAUGUCAUGAAAGAUUGUGCACUAAUGGAUACACCCGUGUCUAAAGGAGACAAAUUCAGUCUCAAACAAUGUCCCAAGAAUGAACUUGAGAUAAAAGAAAUGCAGAAGAUACCAUAUGCCUCGGCAGUGGGAAGUCUGAUGUAUGCUCAAGUUUGUACUCGUCCUGACAUAGCAUUGAUUGUUGGAAUGUUGGGAAGAUAUUUGAGCAAUCCGGGGAUGGAACAAUGGAAAGCAGUAAAAUGAGUCCUACGGUAUUUUAAGAAAACAAAAGACUAUAUGCUCACAUAUAGGAAAUCAGAUCAUCUCGAAAUCAUUGGAUAUUCGGAUUCUGACUUUGGAGGAUGCAAAGAUGAAAGAAAAUCUACUUCAUGCUAUGUUUAUUUAUUAGCUGGUGGAGCGAUUUCAUGGAAGUCUGCUAAACAGACGCUCAUAGCUUCAUCCACCAUGGCUGCGGAGUAUAUAGCAUGCUUUGUGGCAUCCAAUCAAGCAUUAUGGCUGCGAAAUUUUGUCACUGGUUUGCGUAUUCUUGAUGGUGUUGAAAGAUUAUUAAAGAUAUUAUGUGAUAAUAAAUCAGCAGUGGAGUAUUCUAAUAACAAUAGGAGCACUACUGAAGCAAAACAUAUAGAUAUCAAGUUACUAGUUGUUAAAGAAAAGAUACAGAGUGGACAAAUUUCUAUAGAACACAUUGGGACUAACUCCAUGAUUGCGGAUCCGCUCACCAAGUCGUUAGCACCUAAGGUUUUUCACGAGCAUAUUGCUCAUAUGGGUGUUACCUCAUGUGAUACUUUGGUUUAGUGGGAGUUUGUAUUUUGGUGUGUUACGUAAUAAACAUUGAGAUGUUUAUGUUCUGCAGAAUACAGUUGAUGGAAUUUUAGUUCAUUAAUUGUCACUCUACUUUUGUUCAAUUUUCUUAUUGUGGUUUAAACAUUGAGUUGAGAAAAUUUAUAUAAAUCUCAUUAGAGAUUGACUAAGGACUAGUUGGAAAUAGGCAUUAUAUAGAUCACAUUGUAUGUAAUUUCCAUGUCACUUAUCCAUACUUUGAUUCAUGUCGUUGAAUAUAUUUGUGUGGUGACCACGGAAGGUUUAGUCGCGUAAAGUUUGUGACGAAUACCGCCAGAAUCUCAUACCUAUAUAGUAGAUGGACCGAAUUGUUUUAGUAAAAUCUAAGGACAAUGAAUAGCAUAAGGUUGCGCACUAAAGAUAUGUAUAAUUGAUUUUGGAUUUAAUAUGAAGCCCAAGUGGGAGAUUGUUAUUAUUAUUUUAAUAAUAAUAAUAAAUUAUUAUGGGCUACAUAUAUAAAUAUAUCAAUUAUAUUUAGUUAUUUAUUUUAUUGGGUUAAAUUACGUGAUCAAAUAAGAAAUCCAAUUAGAUUUUAAUUAUUGUGUGGGUCAAAUGAGUGGAUACCCAAUACUAAGGCCUAAUUUAAUUAUAAUGGGAGAUUAAAUUGAGCGUUAGAAUACAGAAGGUUAUAGUCCCCAAUAUAUCAAGCAACACAUACAGUCUUUCUUUACCCAUCAGAGAGGACUACUCGAGAAAACCUAAGGAGUGCUUGGUUGAGGAAGACAAUAACGCUGCUUCAAAAGCAAGAUUACUUAAGGUUAUACCACUAUCAUCACUAAUGGAUACAGGUAUGCUUCCGCUUACAGUUUAUAACUCGAUAGUUGAAUAUGAUGUUUACGGUCCUUGUCUCUAUUAUAGAGAAUUUAUGCUUAUAGAAUUAUAAGUUUCUUACAAUUGGCAUCAGAGCCACUUCAUAUUUGAUUAUUGAGUGUACAGUUUUUGCAUAUGUUUUGAAAUCGGUUAAUCUGAUUUGUUCGGUUAUUGUUUUCCGAGAGGAUUUGUGUGCACGCACAGUCUGGCUAAUUUUUUAACACUUGAAUUGCGUUUGCGUGAUUUCACUUCGGUCAAAUUUUCUUUUAAACUAAUGAGUUAAAACCCUAGUUUCUCGGUUUCCCCUCUUUAUAUAUCUCACCGGUCCCAUAAUUCCUUUUUACCAAACUACCCUUGCUAAAAAAAUUAGAAUAUAAUAACUUUGGUUUCAUUUUCCCAAUAUGUUAUAAAUUAAACAUAUUAUGUAAUUAAAUUUAGUUUUUUUUUGGAAAAUACGCUCAUCUUUUAAAUUUUGACAAAAAUAUUUUUACUUUGGAAACUUUGAAAAUUAUUAUUUAUUGAAUUUCUUACAAAAUUACUUAAUUUUUUAUGCUACAAUCAAAUGCAUACUCAAUUAAAAGUAGUUCAAUUUUUCGGUUACGGAGAGCCAUAAAUACUUGCAAAAUAGAAUAAGAAUUAACAAAUUAUAUUUUUAUUACAAAUAUAUUUUAUCCAUUUCAAAUUUAUUUUACCAUUUUUAUAAAUUUUACAAAGUGAUUUUUAUUUAAAGUUGUGGUCAAUUGAAAAGCCAUACAAGACUUUUACAGUAGAGAGCAGAAACUAUUAAAAGACAAAUAAACUUAUAUUAUUAUUAUUAUGUAUGAAUUAUAGAAAAUAAAAAGAUUAAUUGAUUAAAAGAGGUCACAAAACAAAGGGGAUGGAGUGAGGCUCAGAUCUGCAAAAAGUGAAGACAAUGGAGGAUCCGAUUCCGCCAUGGCUGCAACCAUCUUAGUUACCCAGCCAAGAUACGGGUCGGAUCUCCCAAGCUCCCACUGGGGUUCGCUCCAAUUAGAUUACAUAUACAACAUCAUCAUAGCCUCGUUGUUUAUUUCACUUGCUCUUAGACAGAUACUGGAAUAGAUAGAUACAUGCAUGCAUCCAAAGCCAUCCAUACAUAAUGGAGAGUGGAAUGGAAAUGGUAGUGAAGGAAGUGAAGUAGAAAUAAUAAUACAGUAAUUUCCCCAGAAAACAAAGAAUCAUCUGUAUCUGCAGCAGCAACAACAACAAGAAUAGAUUGUGUUGCAAAGGUCGGUUGAUUAAGAGUGGUGUUAGAAAUCAUGGGCUAAGUAGAGAGGGGCAACCGGCCUUAGAAACCUUUUUUAUCCUCUCCACCGCCUCAUUCUUCUAAGAGCAAACCCCAGCUUUUUGCUGCUCUCUUUACCAAACGCACCGCUCCCUUAUAUCUUGAUGCUUUUUUUUAAUUAUUUUUUGUUGGGUAAUUGUCUUGGUUUUGGUGUUUAAUUUUUAAUUGCACUUGGU